rnacentral:rRNA from 1 species
UACGGGGGGGGUAAGCGUUGUUCGGAAUUACUGGGCGUAAAGGGCUCGUAGGCGGCCAACUAAGUCAUACGUGAAAUCCCUCAGCUUAACUGGGGAACUGCGUGUGAUACUGGAUGGCUUGGAUUUGGGAGAGGGAUGCGGAAUUCCAGGUGUAGCGGUGAAAUGCGUAGAUAUCUGGAGGAACACCGGUGGCGAAGGCGGCAUCCUGGACCGACAUUGACGCUGAGGCGCGAAAGCCAGGGGAGCAAACGGG